GUCUGUUCCCACUCUGAUGACUUCUCCCAUCACUCGGGGUAUGAAAAGGAGGUCCUUAGCCCUGGUGAUGGAGGCUGCUGCAGCUACAGGACUACCUGUGUCUUUAGUUAAGAACUGGAUUUGUAACUAUGGGUGUUCACUUAAUACCUCCUGCAACACCCGGCGCCACAAAGCUGCUGGUUAUAAGUGCAGUGUCUGCCUAUAACUUGUUUUGCGCAGAGCUGCUGAAGGGGAAAGACUUUCCUUUCUCUAUAUAUUUCAGUCCUUCUACCGUCUCUCUGAAUUCUCUCUCUUUCCCAGGGCAUGGAGGGAUAUCAACAUCUCAUUCUUGAUGACAGCACCACUGUACAUUCCACAACUGGAGUGAUUUCACAUAUUUUCAGGGCACAAGAAUGGGAUUUAAGGAGAGCCAUAGAGAGAGGGAGAGAGGGAGAGGGAGCGAGAGCGAGAGAGAGAGAGAGAGAGAGAGAGAAAGUAAGUAAGUAAGUACUGGGUGACAUCUCCUGUCUCUCCCUAUCUAUGUUUCCACGUGGUGGCCUGGGCUAGCCCCCUGCUGACUCACACUCGUUUGUUGAUCUAAUGUGACUACCAUCCACUUCACCCCCCCUUUCUUCUACCCCCACUCCUCCGAAAGACCGCUUGGCCGUUCCACGAAAAGAGCGCAUUUGGAUAUUUUAAGUAGAAAUUUAAAACCCUGUUAUAUUAAAUGAAGGGGGGGUGAAGUCCUUUAAUAUAGACUACAUGAAUAAAGGCUUGCUAAAGUGUCAAAAUUCAGCAUUUUGACUUCUAGGAAGAUUUGAACCUACUUAAUCACAACACUUCUCAGUUUCACCCUAGUAAUUUUGUUGCUUUGACAAAGUAAUUUCUGAAGAUUAGUAUGUAUUUAAUGUGACUAGUGAUUUAUUUACAUCUGUCCCUCCUUUAAAGGUCAACUUGUUACUCUCCUUUUAAUAUGGUGAAACUAUUCAUUUUGAGAAAAAAAAAUUCAAAAGAAACAUUGAACAUCCAAUAGUCAAAUCGUUGCGUAAAAGCAGUUCAGCUGGUUCUUCUUUUUUUGUGCCAAUUUUCUGUUAUUUUGUGGUGGAAAACUGAGCUGGUCGAGCAUAGCACAUCAACCCUGUUACCCAUAGAUAAGCUAGAAAUGUUUAAACAGUUUCAUUUGUUUUUUUGUGAAGCUUGCAUUCAAUUGCCACUCCCUGUUGCACAUAACAAGCUUCCAUUCCUCCUGUCACAAGGGGAUUUAUGUAUGAUUUAAUUAAGAAUAAAUAGUCAACCCUG